GACGUUACGCACGUUAUUGCGUCAAUACCGUGUAAUCAACCAGUCCACACUAAUAAACAGCUUUUCUAUAAAAUCAUAACAGUUAAGUUAUAUAAAACUUAUAUCCAUAGACUAGACAGGUAAAUACUAUUCCGAAAAAAAGUACAAAUUGUUUUAUCAUAUUUUACUUUAGUCUAAAAUAAGGACAACAUAUUGACAAAACGUCAAAAAUAUGCGUGUCAGACGUAACAGACUAUACGCAUAAUCACUUUAGCAGGGGUGUUUGUGUUCUUCAAAAUAGUGUUAUAUCCACGAAAAUUCGAAUGAAUGAUAUGCUUUCAUAUAUAAAGUAUAACAAUAUUACUGGAUAUGUGUUUCUGAUACGACCAACGCUAUUUUUUGGCAAAAACAAAUAGUGUUCAUAUUGGUCAGAUUUUGGAAGAUGUUAAGUUAUCAAAAUUUAUAGGUUUUAAAAUAUAAGAUUAUAUGAUAUUUCGUUUGUGUAAAUUCGGCUCACAUAUGUGCAUACAUAGACCAUAUCAAAAUCGAAUUUUUGGAGCACUCACACUACAUAUAAAAAUGCAACGGCUUCUGGCAAAUGUCUUGCAAGAUGUCCAAUGUCGGAUUUCGCCGUUUUUUACAAAUAAAUUGUCAUUUGCGACGUUAUUUAUUAAAAAUUUAGAUUAGUUGCAUGCUAAAUAGUCCUUUUCCGUAAUUGUGCUUUAACUUUACAAAACAGCUACAUACUUUUUGAUAACUUGCGUAGUCAAAACGACUUCGUUUUCAAAGAAAUGAAAUGUCUUGCAAGUUUGUCCACUGGACGAUUUUCGUACGUUUUCAACGUUGUCGAUUCGGGGUACGCUAUUUAUGGUGGAUCAUCUGUAUAUAGUUCCUCAGAUAGAAUUUUCUUGAUAGUCAGAUACUAUCAACAAGACCACAAAGCAUCAUAAAAAAAAAUCCGAUGACUGGGUUUGUUCGUUUAGAUGAGGUUCUUAAGUUGUGAAAAAGUUUUGUAUCACAAGAGGAUAACAAAUCAUCUUUAUCAAAUUUUCAAAUUUGGGAAGCGUAAACUGACUGCGAUUUUUUUUUUUAUUUCUCUGCAAUAAGAUUCAUGUGUAUAGAAUUGAAAGUGAAAAUAAAAUUGGGCCUAAAGCGUGGCUAUAUACCUCUCCACAUCAUACAAAGCUUGUAAACAUAUGAGAUGAAUUAUAAUUAACCUUUUUUUUCUGACAAUCGUUUCAUUUCAUAAUCUAAUAUUGUACCGCUAUUAAAGAAAGUAUAGUGAAUUUUAUAAGCAAGACCCGUUUAACUUGUUAUUCUCGACAAACUUUUUAUAUUAAAGCAAAAUAUAUAUCCUCCUCCUUUUCGGAUCUAAAUGGGAAAACAUUGCACUUUAAUACGUUUUAUGUCAAUUGAUCUCUGGUAGAGAGUUGUCUCAUUGGCACUCAUCAUACCGUAUAUAUCUUCUCAUUUCAUAAAGAUAUGCAUUACCCAAAUACGAUAUAUUUUGUUGUUUGUUGCUUACGUUACCUUCAUUGGGAAAUAUUCAAUGCAUAUUCAGUACAACAAAACAUUAUAAGAAGUAUCCAUAUUGAUGUGCAAAACAAAAAUUGCAAGCGAAAUACAAAACUUAUCCCAAAUAAUCGGUAAUCGCCGUAAAACGUAAAAAUUUGACGUUACCAUUUGAGACGCAAUAUCGUGCUUAACGUCUAU
rnacentral:lncRNA from 1 species